rnacentral:tRNA from 1 species
GGUGCUGUGGCUCACUGGCAGAACCUCUGCCUGGCAUUCAGAAGGCCCCAGGCUCAAUCCAUGGCAUCUCCA